CUCGUGUCCAACCUAAUUCUGCAUCAUGGUUUAUUUAUGUAGUCUCGCUUUUGGACCAGAAGAACCACCAAUCCUUUAUUAUCCUUGUGCUUGCGAUAAUAGCCCAGUUCAAUGCACACGAGAAACGUAAAAGAACAAAA